GAUGAACGCUAGCGGCAGGCCUAAUACAUGCAAGUCGAACGGGAUCCAGAUCAAAGCUUGCUUUGGUUUGGUGAGAGUGGCGCACGGGUGCGUAACGCGUGAGCAACCUACCCUUGUCAGGGGGAUAGCCCGGCGAAAGUCGGAUUAAUACCGCAUGACAUCAUUGAGAGGCAUCUUUCGAUGAUCAAAGAUUUAUCGGACAAGGAUGGGCUCGCGNGACAUUAGCUAGUUGGUAAGGUAACGGCUUACCAAGGCUGCGAUGUCUAGGGGCUCUGAGAGGAGAA
rnacentral:rRNA from 1 species